GACGAACGCUGGCGGCGUGCCUAAUACAUGCAAGUAGAACGCUGAAGGAGGAGCUUGCUCUUCUGGAUGAGUUGCGAACGGGUGAGUAACGCGUAGGUAACCUGCCUGGUAGCGGGGGAUAACUAUUGGAAACGAUAGCUAAUACCGCAUAACAGUAGAUGUUGCAUGACAUUUACUUAAAAGGUGCAAUUGCAUCACUACCAGAUGGACCUGCGUUGUAUUAGCUAGUUGGUGGGGUAACGGCGCACCAAGGCGACGAUACAUAGCCGACCUGAGAGGGUGAGCGGCCACACUGGGACUGAGACACGGCCCAGACGCAUACGGGAGGCAGCAGUAGGGAAUCGUCGGCAAUGGACGGAAGUCUGACCGAGCAACGCCGCGUGAGUGAAGAAGGUUUUCGGAUCGUAAAGCUCUGUUGUAAGAGAAGAACGAGUGUGAGAGUGGAAAGUUCACACUGUGACGGUAACUGACCAGAAAGGGACGGCUAACUACGUG
rnacentral:rRNA from 1 species